GAUGAACGCUGGCGGCGUGCCUAAUACAUGCAAGUCGAGCGGAAAGGCCUCUUCGGAGGUACUCGAGCGGCGGACGGCUGAGUAACGCGUAGGAACGUACCCCAAAGUGAGGGAUAACUGCUCGAAAGAGUAGCUAAUACCGCAUGUGGUCUAAGGAUUAAAGCUUCGGCGCUUUGGGAGUGGCCUGCGUCCGAUUAGCUAGUUGGUGAGGUAAUUGCUCACCAAGGCGACGAUCGGUAGCUGGUCUGAGAGGAUGAUCAGCCUGACUGGAACUGAGAACGGUCCAGACUCCUACGGGAGGCAGCAGUAGGGAAUUUUCCACAAUGGGCGAAAGCCUGAUGGAGCAACGCCGCGUGCAGGAUGAAUGCCUUCGGGUUGUAAACUGCUUUUCUGUGUGAAGAAUAUGACGGUAACACAGGAAUAAGGGUCGGCUAACUACGUGCCAGCAGCCGCGGUCAUACGUAGGACCCAAGCGUUAUCCGGAAUUACUGGGCGUAAAGAGUUGCGUAGGUGGCAUAAUAAGUGAAGCGUGAAAGCGUGCGGCUCAACCGCAUAUCCGCGUUUCAAACUAUUAAGCUUGAGUAUAAGAGAGGUAGAUGGAAUUUCUAGUGUAGGAGUGAAAUCCGUAGAUAUUAGAAGGAACACCGAUGGCGUAGGCAGUCUACUGGCUUAUUACUGACACUAAGGCACGAAAGCGUGGGGAGCGAACAGGAUUAGAUACCCUGGUAGUCCACGCCGUAAACUAUGGAUGCUAGCUGUGACACAUAUCGACCUGUGUCGUAGCGAAGUUAACGCGUUAAGCAUCCCGCCUGGGGAGUACGGUCGCAAGAUUAAAACUCAAAGGAAUUGACGGGGACCCGCACAAGCGGUGGAGCGUGUUGUUUAAUUCGAUGGUAAGCGAAGAACCUUACCCAGGUUUGACAUCCCGAGAAGGCUUCCGAAAGGAAACUGUGCUUUAUUGAACUCGGUGACAGGUGCUGCAUGGCCGUCGUCAGCUCGUGUCGUGAGAUGUAUGGUUAAGUCCAUUAACGAGCGCAACCCUUAUGUUUAGUUGGAUUUUUCUAAACAGACUGCCCUGGUAACAGGGA
rnacentral:rRNA from 1 species